AGCCGGGGUUUCUUUACCAGGUACUGUCAUUAUCAUCCCUGGCGAAAGAGCUUUACGACCCUAAGGCCUUCAUCGCUCACGCGGCAUGGCUAGAUCAGGCUUGCGCCAUUGU
rnacentral:rRNA from 1 species